ensembl:snRNA U6 U6 spliceosomal RNA
GUGUUCACUUUAGCAGCAUGUAUACUAAAAUUAGACCAAUACAGAGAAGAUUAGCAUGGGCCCUGUACAAGGGAUGACAUGUGAAUUCAUGAAGCAUUUCAUAUUUUA